rnacentral:rRNA from 1 species
GUAAACGAUGAGUGCUAAGUGUUUGGAGGGUUUCCGCCCUUCAGUGCUGCNAGNNAACGCAUUAAGCACUCNCGCCUGGGGAGUACGACCGCAAGGUUGAAACUCAAAAGGAAUUGACGGGGGCCCGCACAAGCGGUGGAGCAUGUGGUUUAAUUCGAAGCAACGCGAAGAACCUUACCAGGUCUUGACAUCCUCUGACAACCCUAGAGAUAGGGCUUUCCCUUCGGGGACAGAGUGACAGGUGGUGCAUGGUUGUCGUCAGCUCGUGUCGUGAGAUGUUGGGUUAAGUCCCGCAACGAGCGCAACCCUUGUCGUUAGUUGCCAUCAUUCAGUUGGGCACUCUAGCGAGACUGCCGGUGACAAACCGGAGGAAGGUGGGGAUGACGUCAAAUCAUCAUGCCCCUUAUGACCUGGGCUACACACGUGCUACAAUGGACGGUACAACGAGCAGCGAACUCGCGAGGGCAAGCGAAUCUCUUAAAGCCGUUCUCAGUUCGGAUUGCAGGCUGCAACUCGCCUGCAUGAAGCCGGAAUCGCUAGUAAUCGUGGAUCAGCAUGCCACGGUGAGUACGUUCCCGGGCCUUGUACACACCGCCCGUCACACCACGAGAGUUUGUAACACCCAAAGUCGGUGCGGUAACCUUUUGGAGCCAGCCGCCUAAGGUGGGAUAGAUGAUUGGGGUG